rnacentral:RNase_P_RNA from 1 species
CAAGUAAGUCAGACAGCUGCGGGGGGUAUACCGAAAGGUUCCCUCUGAGGAAAGUCCGGGCUCCACAGGGCAAGGAUAACGGGUAACGCCCGCCGAAGGCGACUUCAGGACAAGUGCAACAGAGAUAUACCGCCCCGCGCGAAAUCGAGGGGUAAGGGUGGAAAGGCGAGGUAAGAGCUCACCCGGAGACAUGGUGACACGUUUCCGCUGUAAACUCUAUCCGGAGCAACACCGUGAAAGGGGAGCAUACGGCUUGCCCGGCCGCUCCCUAGAGGUGGCAUGAGCCGUCCGGCAACAGACGGCCAAGAUAGAUGGCUGUCCAACGACAGAAUCCGGCUUACCGAUUUACUUGCGUU